rnacentral:tRNA from 1 species
UGAGAGUUGCCAGAUUAUAGUAAUGCAGUUAGCUUGAAAAUAAACUUAUGCAGGUUUAACUCCUGUACUCUCUU